AGGGUUUGAUCAUGGCUCAGAUUGAACGCUGGCGGCAUGCCUAACACAUGCAAGUCGAACGGAAACGAUGGGAGCUUGCUCCCAGGCGUCGAGUGGCGGACGGGUGAGUAAUACUUAGGAAUCUACCCAGUAGCGGGGGACAACUCGAGGAAACUCGAGCUAAUACCGCAUACGCUCUACGGAGGAAAGCAGGGGAUCUUCGGACCUUGCACUAUUGGAUGAGCCUAAGUCGGAUUAGCUUGUUGGUGAGGUAAAGGCUCACCAAGGCGACGAUCCGUAGCUGGUCUGAGAGGACGAUCAGCCACACUGGGACUGAGACACGGCCCAGACUCCUACGGGAGGCAGCAGUGGGGAAUAUUGGACAAUGGGGGCAACCCUGAUCCAGCAAUGCCGCGUGUGUGAAGAAGGCCUGCGGGUUGUAAAGCACUUUCAGUAGAGAAGAAAAGCCUAGGGCUAAUACCCCUGAGUCUUGACGUUACCUACAGAAGAAGCUCCGGCUAACUCCGUGCCAGCAGCCGCGGUAAUACGGAGGGAGCGAGCGUUAAUCGGAAUUACUGGGCGUAAAGCGCGCGUAGGCGGCUUUGUAAGUCGGAUGUGAAAGCCCUGGGCUCAACCUGGGAAUGGCAUUCGAUACUGCAGAGCUAGAGUAUGGUAGAGGGAAGUGGAAUUUCCGGUGUAGCGGUGAAAUGCGUAGAUAUCGGAAGGAACACCGGUGGCGAAGGCGACUUCCUG
rnacentral:rRNA from 1 species